AACGAACGCUGGCGGCAUGCCUAACACAUGCAAGUCGAACGAGACCUUCGGGUCUAGUGGCGCACGGGCGCGUAACGCGUGGGAACCUGCCUUUAGGUUCGGAAUAACUCAGAGAAAUUUAAGCUAAUACCGGAUGAUGUCUUCGGACCAAAGAUUUAUCGCCUUUAGAUGGGCCCGCGUUGGAUUAGCUAGUUGGUGGGGUAAAGGCCUACCAAGGCGACGAUCCAUAGCUGGUCUGAGAGGAUGAUCAGCCACACUGGGACUGAGACACGGCCCAGACUCCUACGGGAGGCAGCAGUGGGGAAUAUUGGACAAUGGGCGAAAGCCUGAUCCAGCAAUGCCGCGUGAGUGAUGAAGGCCUUAGGGUUGUAAAGCUCUUUUACCCGAGAUGAUAAUGACAGUAUCGGGAGAAUAAGCUCCGGCUAACUCCGU
rnacentral:rRNA from 1 species